rnacentral:tRNA from 1 species
GGGAGAAUACCAGAGUGGCCAAAUGGGGCAGACUGUAAAUCUGCUGGUUUUUACCUUCGGUGGUUCGAAUCCAUCUUCUCCCA